AGCGAACGCUGGCGGCAGGCCUAACACAUGCAAGUCGAACGAACCUUUCGGGGUUAGUGGCGGACGGGUGAGUAACACGUGGUAACGUGCCUUUAGGUUCGGAAUAACUCAGGGAAACUUGUGCUAAUACCGAAUGUGCCCUUCGGGGGAAAGAUUAAUCGCCUUUAGAGCGGCCCGCGUCUGAUUAGCUAGUUGGUUGAGGUAAUGGCUCACCAAGGCGACGAUCAGUAGCUGGUCUGAGAGGAUGAUCAGCCACAUUGGGACUGAGACACGGCCCAAACUCCUACGGGAGGCAGCAGUGGGGAAUCUUGCGCAAUGGGCGAAAGCCUGACGCAGCCAUGCCGCGUGAAUGAUGAAGGUCUUAGGAUUGUAAAAUUCUUUCACCGGGGACGAUAAUGACGGUACCCGGAGAAGAAGCCCAGGCUAACUUCGUG
rnacentral:rRNA from 1 species